CAGAAAUAACACGGCUCCUGUUCAUUCUCCAUCAGUGAGGGGCCGGUGCUGGACACUGUGUAGGGACGCGGGAAUGCAAAGUCAUACACAUGACUGUGACUGAUGCACUAUCUCCAGGACAUGGAGUAGCAUUUCCGGACCUACAGCAAGACGUUGGAUGAAGGCAUAGCCCCAGAAAUAACACUGGUCCUGUUCAUCAGUGAGGGGCCGGUGCUGGACACUGUGUAGGGACACGGGAAUGCAAAGUCAUGCACAUGACUGUGACUGAUGCACUAUUUCCAGGACAUGGAGUAGCAUUUCGGGACCUACAGCAAGACGUUGGAUGAAGGCACAGGCCUAGGAAUCAUGCACAUACACAGAAACAUUUGCCCAAAUUCUAGAGGUAACCUCCUUUAGUAUGCCCAGAGGAAGGGCCAUACAGUAGCCAUGGAUUCCCUACAGGUUUCCUCCCCUCUGGAGGUUUUUCCUGUCCUGAGUAUUAGUUACUGUACGCUCUUUGUGAGUGAUGGGAGGUUACAAAAAAUCCCCUACACAAACAUUUUAAUAAAUAAUAAAUAAAGUUCCCCUUUUUUUA